rnacentral:rRNA from 1 species
GAUGAACGCUGGCGGCGUGCCAAUACCUGCAAGUCGAGCGAACGGACGAGAAGCUUGCUUCUCUGAUGUUAGCGGCGGACGGGUGAGUAACACGUGGAUAACCUACCUAUAAGACUGGGAUAACUUCGGGAAACCGGAGCUAAUACCGGAUAAUAUUUUGAACCGCAUGGUUCAAAAGUGAAAGACGGUCUUGCUGUCACUUAUAGAUGGAUCCGCGCUGCAUUAGCUAGUUGGUAAGGUAACGGCUUACCAAGGCAACGAUGCAUAGCCGACCUGAGAGGGUGAUCGGCCACACUGGAACUGAGACACGGUCCAGACUCCUACGGGAGGCAGCAGUAGGGAAUCUUCCGCAAUGGGCGAAAGCCUGACGGAGCAACGCCGCGUGAGUGAUGAAGGUCUUCGGAUCGUAAAACUCUGUUAUUAGGGAAGAACAUAUGUGUAAGUAACUGUGCACAUCUUGACGGUACCUAAUCAGAAAGCCACGGCUAACUACGUG